UACGCAGGGCGCAAGCGUUAUCCGGAAUUAUUGGGCGUAAAGAGCUCGUAGGCGGUUUGUCGCGUCUGCUGUGAAAGACCGGGGCUCAACUCCGGUUCUGCAGUGGGUACGGGCAGACUAGAGUGCAGUAGGGGAGACUGGAAUUCCUGGUGUAGCGGUGAAAUGCGCAGAUAUCAGGAGGAACACCGAUGGCGAAGGCAGGUCUCUGGGCUGUAACUGACGCUGAGGAGCGAAAGCAUGGGGAGCGAACAGG
rnacentral:rRNA from 1 species